UAUUAUUGAAAAUAUGACCUUCAUUCUUAUAUAAUCCUAACCUUUCUUCACCAUACUAUCUUUGAAACUCGAAUGUGAUUCGGCCUUGUCGUCAGUUGUGUAUCAAGCUAGGGGCAAGGGAGGGCAAUUGCCCUCCCCCCAAAAUUUGGUAAUUUUAAAAAGACCUAUAUGUAAUUUAUAAUUAUAUAGGGGUUUUAAUAUAAUUUUUUUCUCCUGAAAGUUGGUUAAAUAUUAAAGACCUAUAUGUAAUUUUAAAUUUCAUAGGGGAUUAAAUGUAAUUUUUACAUUAUAUUUAUAUAUUUUAAGGGUUAAAUUAUAAAUUUCACAUGUAUAAUAAAAAAAUAUAUUUUUGUAACCUAUAUGUUACUUUUUUUAUACAUUCAAGGACUUAUAUAUAAUAAUAAUAUAUUCCAAAGACCUAUAUCUAUAUAUGUGUUACUUUUUUAUUUUUAGGAUUUAAAAUUUUAUGCAUUAAUUAUUAUAUAAUUGGAUUUAGAAUGUAGGAUUGUAUAUAAUUUUUAUAGGUUUUUAUAAUCGAUUUUAUAAAUAGGUUAUGACAUUUUUUUUAAUAAGUACAAUUUUUUUUCGCCUUCGUCGAAUCUUGCCUCCCUGACGGAGGGAAUCCUGACUACGCCACUGACUAUAUUAAUAUUUUACGAUGGUUAACUUAUAGAUAUCGAAUUUUGAAUUGCUUGUUUAUUUUCAAUAUCUGAAAUUUUAAAAAUUCAUGUUUGAUUACCCACAACAGAUAUUAGAUUAUUGGAUUGGAAUAAAAUUUUAAGUCAAGAUAUUUUAGUUUUGAUUUUAUAGGACUUUACCCUUGUUUGGAGGGAGCACUUCAAAAAAUUUCAUUCCCUAAGUGAUAUAUUUUAAAAUGUUAAAGUUUUGUUUUUAUCGAGUCAAGUAAUCAUCCCACAUCUAUAAAUGAAGUAAUACAGAAAUCAAGUAUUACUGAGAAUUUACCCUAUAAAUGAAGGGUUUUACCCUUGUUAUAAGUAUAAGACAUUGUUCAUCUACAAUAAUAAUUACUAUUAAUCAAAUCAGAUUAUAAUACAAUACAAUAUAAUCUUAAUAUGUAUUAUUUUGUUUUUUCUAAACUAACAUCUUAUAGAAAGGAAUUGGAGGACUCUUUAUAUAUUCUACAAGAGACUCAAGCCCACCAUCAGUCCAGGCCCAGCAAAGAUAAAUCUCAACAACAG
rnacentral:lncRNA from 1 species